CUUUGCUCCAGUUUCCAGUAAGUUCCUCAUCUCCAUUUGAGACCAACUCAGCCUGGACCUUACUGUUCAUAUCAUUGUCAGCAUUUUUGUCAAAGCCAUUCAACAAAUCUCUAGGAGUUCCAAACUUUCCAACAUUUUUAUGUCUUCUGAGUCCUCCAAACUAUUCCAGCCUCUGCCUGUUAACCAGUUCCGAAGGAGUUCCCCGACUGCUUGUGCUUCCCAGAGAUGGUGUCUCACUCUGUCACCAGGCUGGAAUGCAGUGGCAUAAUCAUAACUCACUGCAGCCUCAGGUUCCUGGGCUCAAGUGAUUCUCCUGCCUCAACUUCCUGAGUAGCUGGGACCACAGGUGUGUACCAUCAUACCCAGCUAAUUUUCAAAAUUAUUAUUUUCUGUAGAGACGGG
rnacentral:lncRNA from 1 species